rnacentral:tRNA from 1 species
GGCCCCGUAGCUCAGCAGGAUAGAGCGCCAGAUUCCUAAUCUGUAGGCCGCUGGUUCGAAUCCAGCCGGGGUCACCA